UACGGAGGGUGCAAGCGUUGUCCGGAUUUAUUGGGUUUAAAGGGUGCGUAGGCGGCCCGUUAAGUCCGUGGUGAAAGCCUCCAGCUCAACUGGAGAACUGCCAUGGAUACUGACGGGCUUGAGUACAGACGAGGGCGGCGGAAUGGAUGGUGUAGCGGUGAAAUGCAUAGAUACCAUCCAGAACCCCGAUUGCGAAGGCAGCUGCCUAGACUGUAACUGACGCUGAGGCACGAAAGCGUGGGGAGCGAACAGG
rnacentral:rRNA from 1 species